rnacentral:rRNA from 1 species
GAUGAACGCUGGCGGCGUGCCUAACACAUGCAAGUCGAACGAAGCACUUUAUUUGAUUUCCUUCGGGACUGAUUAUUUUGUGACUGAGUGGCGGACGGGUGAGUAACGCGUGGGUAACCUGCCUUGUACAGGGGGAUAACAGUUGGAAACGGCUGCUAAUACCGCAUAAGCGCACGGCAUCGCAUGAUGCAGUGUGAAAAACUCCGGUGGUAUAAGAUGGACCCGAGUUGGGUUAGCUAGUUGGUGCGUUAACGGCCCACCAAGGGGACGUUCCAUAGCCGAGAAGGGAGGGAGAGCCGCCACAUUGGGGGUGGGACACGGCCGAAAAUCCUACGGGAGGGAGGAAUGGGGAAUAGUGCAAAAUGGGCGGAAGCCUGAAGCAGCGACGCCGCGUGAGCGAAGAAAUAUUGCAGGAUGUAAAGCUCUAUCAGCAGGGAAGAUAAUGACGGUACCUGACUAAGAAGCACCGGCUAAAUACGUG